rnacentral:rRNA from 1 species
ACGAACGCUGGCGGCGUGCCUAACACAUGCAAGUCGAGCGAGAAAGCCUCCUUCGGGAGGCGAGUACAGCGGCGAACGGGUGAGUAACACGUGAGCGAUCUACCCAACGGCGGGGGAUAACUCAGGGAAACCUGAGCUAAUACCGCAUACAGCACCGGCCUGGAAGCCGGAUGUGAAAGCUGGCCUCUCGAAGAAGCUAGCACCGUUGGAUGAGCUCGCGGCCUAUCAGCUUGUUGGUGGGGUAACGGCCUACCAAGGCGAUGACGGGUAGCUGGCGUGAGAGCGUGGCCAGCCACACGUGGGACUGAGACACGGCCCAGACUCCUACGGGAGGCAGCAGGUGGGGAAUAUUGCGCAAGUGGGACGAAAGCCUGACGCAGCGACGCCGCGUGGGGGAGGAAGGCCCCAGGGUUGUAAACCCCCUGUCAGGUGGGACGAACCACGGAUCGGUCAAUACCCGGUCCGCCUGACGGUACCACCAGAGGAAGCUCCGGCUAACUCCGUG